AUCACUUCUCAGCCUUUUGGCUACAAUCAAGUGUAGUAUCUGCUCUUAUCAGUUUAGUCUCUGAUAUAUCCUCUAUCCGAGGACAAUAUAUUAAAUGGAUUUUUGGAGCUAGGAGUUGGAAUAGGAGCUUGCUCCAUCUACUCCAUGCAGCAACCUGGUAUUGCAGUACUUCCAGACAUGGUGCAUCAAAA
ensembl:snRNA U2 U2 spliceosomal RNA